ACAAAUCUUGGUACGUCU
rnacentral:snRNA from 1 species